UACGUAGGGUGCGAGCGUUGUCCGGAAUUACUGGGCGUAAAGAGCUCGUAGGUGGUUUGUCGCGUUGUUCGUGAAAACCGGGGGCUUAACCCUCGGCGUGCGGGCGAUACGGGCAGACUGGAGUACUGCAGGGGAGACUGGAAUUCCUGGUGUAGCGGUGGAAUGCGCAGAUAUCAGGAGGAACACCGGUGGCGAAGGCGGCCGGCUGGGGGUGACCUGACGCUGAGGCGCGAAAGCGUGGGGAGCGAACCGG
rnacentral:rRNA from 1 species